rnacentral:misc_RNA from 1 species
GAUUUAUGAAGUCUAAGCAAAGUAGUUUGCAGAGCAACAGAGUUUUAGCAGCUGCAGAAUCUACGAUUAAUACCAAAAGUUUUGUUGCACAGAAUAGAAGGUUAGGUGCAUCUACCCGAUUGAGAAUGCCAGCCACAGCCGAUGGCUGCAAGUUUGAAACUGAAAGAAAACCUUAUUCAAGGAGAAGUGAUUCCCUCUCUCCGGUGCGGAAGAAGAGAUUGAUGAAUGUCUCCAGACAAGGUGAAAGUUCUAGUUUUGUGAAUGCGAAUUUGGGAAGAGAAUCAAGCCCUUAUUCUGACAAAACAAGUAGAAAAGAUGUUUUCCCAAUUUCUUCCGUUAAUAGUCACUCCACUAAACCGAAGUUGCCAUGUUUGCGAGAGAGUGGUGCAACCAAUAAUAGUUCUGAGGGAAGUAAUGUUGUUUCUUUUACUUUUAGAUCUGCAAUGAAGCAGAAAGCUGGCAUUCAUGCAGAAGUCACAAAAAGGAAGUCUCAAAAUAGCUCAAGUUUUGAUGCUACUCCAGGGAGAUCCUUCUUUACUGGAAAUGAUGAAACAGCAUGCUUGCAGAAAUCCUUUCCUUUGAAAGGAGACAUUUUAGGAGCACUUUUGGAGCAAAAGCUAAAGGAAUUGACUAGUGAAGAAGAGUUCGCAGAAGGAGAUGCUGCACCUAGAAAAAGCACUGCAACGAUCCUUCAGGAGCUAAUAACUGCUUUGAAUGAUGAGACCCAAUUUCAUCUGGAUAGUUUGCCUUCUAAACCUAACAGAAAAGAAGAUUUGUAUGAUGAUCGUGAAGUGUCUUCAAGAAAUACUUGCAUGAAUUUCCAGCCCAUACCAGAUUCAGCAACCGAUUUAGUUGGGAAUUCACUUGAUAAUGAUCACCUUAGUCCAGGAUGUGUUCUUGAAGCUACCUUUUCAACUGACAGCUACCUCUCCAGCAGUCCCAAUAGUAGCUCAAAGGACAAAGUGCUUGCCGAAUCUAUGGACUCUAUUUAUGACGAACCACUCUUUCCAGAACCUGAUAGAGAUCUUUCGGAUUGUGCGACCUCAUUAUUCACCAGGAGGAGUUGCAGAGCACUGAUCACAGACCAUGUUAACAACAUUUGUGGAGUGCUAAGCAAGAUUAAUCAGUUAAAAGGAAGCAAACUCGGUUAUGCAAAUGAGGUCAUUUUGAAUACUGAACUCAUACUUGGAACCUCACCUGAACAACAGGCUUUACCUGUAGACGAUGGGUUAUCAGUGAGCCAUUUUCUCCUCAAUGAACUUGAAAUGCUAUCAAGUCUUCUAUGGAUGACUUUUGGUCAGUUGCUUGGCUGUAACGACCCCAAACAGAUGAAUCAGCUUAAAGGAUUUGCCUUUGAUUGUCUAUUAGAGUAUCUAGACUCAAAAUUUGGUCGAUACUCUGAUUCUGGUUUCAGAAUCUGGUCUAAACUACCAUCAAGCAUGACUAAAGAGAUUCUGAUUGCUGAUAUUAUUGAAGAGGUCAAAGAGUGGACGGAAUUUGUUGGGUUGAUCCCCGACGAGCUAAUAGAAUGGGAUAUGAGCCAUUCUUUGGGUAAAUGGACGGAUUUUGAGAUUGAAGAAUUUGAAUGUGGCACUGAAGUUGAUAGGCAUAUUCUCCAAGUAUUAGUAGAUGAAGUUGUUUUGGACCUCUACAGUUCUAGUUAAAUUUGGAUGGAACUGUUUGUAGCUCCUCUUUUUGCGAGUUUGUAGUAAGCCUAUCAGUGUUCUCUUUUGAUAACUCUGGCCUCAAUAAUUUCAAGUAAAAGUAUCUUGUACAAAUUAAGGAUUCUGCAUCUUAUUAUAUCCCUAUU